GCUUAGAGAGGGGUCAAUGUCCUAUCAGCUAGUUGGUAGGGUAAUGGCCUACCAAGGCUAAGACGGGUAGCCGGCCUGAGAGGGUGGUCGGCCACACUGGGACUGAGACACUGCCCAGACUCCUACGGGAGGCUGCAGUCGAGAAUCUUUCGCAAUGCCCGAAAGGGUGACGAAGUGACGCCGCGUGUGGGAAGAAGGCCUUCGGGUUGUAAACCACUGUCGGGAGUUAAGAAAUGCAAGGGUGUUAAUAGCAUCCUUGCUUGACUAAGGCUCCGGAGGAAGCCACGGCUAACUCUGUGCCAGCAGCCGCGGUAAUACAGAGGCGGCAAGCGUUGUUCGGAAUUAUUGGGCGUAAAGAGCACGUAGGCGGCUUUGUAAGUCAGUUGUGAAAGCCUUCUGCUCAACGGAAGAACAGCAUCUGAUACUGCAAGGCUAGAGUGCGGAAGGG
rnacentral:rRNA from 1 species